AGUCCUGUAGCUCAGUGGUUAGAGCGCUUACCUCGAAAGCAAGAGGACCUGGGUUCGAUUCUCUGGCAGGGCGA